GAUGAACGCUGGCGGCGUGCCUAAUACAUGCAAGUCGAGCGAACAGACGAGGAGCUUGCUCCUCUGACGUUAGCGGCGGACGGGUGAGUAACACGUGGAUAACCUACCUAUAUGACUGGGAUAACUUCGGGAAACCGGAGCUAAUACCGGAUAAUAUAUUGAACCGCAUGGUUCAAUAGUGAAAGACGGUUUUGUUGUCACUUAUAGAUGGAUCCGCGCCGUAUUAUGUAGUUGGUAAGGUAACGGCUUACCAAGGCGACGAUGCGUAGCCGACCUGAGAGGGUGAUCGCCCACACUGGAACUGAAACACGGUCCAAACUCCUACGGGAGGCAGCAGUAGGGAAUCUUCCGCAAUGGGCGAAAGCCUGACGGAGCAACGCCGCGUGAGUGAUGAAGGUCUUCGGAUCGUAAAACUCUUUUAUUAGGAAAAAACAAAUUUGUAAGUAACUAUGCACAUCUUGACGGUACCUAAUCAGAAAGCCACGGCUAACUACGUG
rnacentral:rRNA from 1 species